rnacentral:tRNA from 1 species
UCCCUGGUGGUCUAGUGGUCAGGAUUCUGCACUUUUACUGCUGUGGCCCAGGUUCAAUCCCUGGUUGGGGAA